UACGGAGGGUGCGAGCGUGUCCGGAAUCAUUGGGCGUAAAGGGCGCGUAGGUGGCCCGGUCAGUCUUUGGUGAAAGCGCGGGGCUCAACCCUGCGUCGGCCAGGGAUACUGCCGCGGCUCGAGCACUGUAGAGGCAGGCGGAAUUCCGGGUGUAGCGGUGGAAUGCGUAGAGAUCCGGAAGAACACCGGUGGCGAAGGCGGCCUGCUGGGCAGUUGCUGACACUGAGGCGCGACAGCGUGGGGAGCAAACAGG
rnacentral:rRNA from 1 species